rnacentral:rRNA from 1 species
CCUACGGGUGGCAGCAGUGGGGAAUAUUGCACAAUGGGGGAAACCCUGAUGCAGCGACGCCGCGUGAGUGAAGAAGUAAUUCGUUACGUAAAGCUCUAUCAGCAGGGAAGAAACACUGACCUUAAGGUCAGCAGACGGUACCUGAGUAAGAAGCCCCAGCUAACUACGUGCCAGCAGCCGCGGUAAUACGUAGGGGGCAAGCGUUAACCGGAUUUACUGGGUGGAAAGGGAGCUUAGACGGUGCGCCAAGUCUGGAGUGAAAUGCCGCAGCUUAACUGCGGAACUGCUUUGGAAACUGGCGAACUAGAGUGCGGGAGGGGUAAGCGGAAUUCCUAGUGUAGCGGUGAAAUGCGUAGAUAUUAGGAGGAACACCGGUGGCGAAGGCGGCUUACUGGACCGUAACUGACGUUGAGGCUCGAAAGCGUGGGGAGCAAACAGGAUUAGAUACCCGAGUAGUC